rnacentral:rRNA from 1 species
UACAGAGGGGGCAAGCGUUGUUCGGAAUUACUGGGCGUAAAGGGCGCGUAGGCGGCCCGCUAAGUCGAACGCGAAAUCCCCGGGCUCAACCCGGGAACUGCGUCCGAUACUGGCAGGCUUGAAUCCGGGAGAGGGAUGCGGAAUUCCAGGUGUAGCGGUGAAAUGCGUAGAUAUCUGGAGGAACACCGGUGGCGAAGGCGGCAUCCUGGACCGGCAUUGACGCUGAGGCGCGAAAGCCAGGGGAGCAAACGGG